rnacentral:misc_RNA from 1 species
CAGAGAGUCUCCCGACUCCCUCACCCCUGCGAACCAAACCUCUCGUUGCUUCGGCGGGCGGCCCCCCGUACGGGGGGCCACCGGCCCGCCCCUCCACGACGGGGCGCCCGCCAGAAGACCGACCAAACUCGUUUUCUUUUAGUGGACAUUCUGAGUAUAAGCUUCUAAACAGACA